ACCUAAUGUAUAUGGUUAGUAUAAAUAUAAAGUGUGGUUUAUUUAUAUUCUAUUACUAUAAAUUCUUAUUUAUUAGAUUUUUUAAAACAUGUGCCUGUGGUACGUGCACCUCCACUUUUCUCAAAAUGAAGGUACAGUAUUCAUACCUAGGUUUAUAUACACGAAGUAUUUCUGUACAUACCUUUUAAAACAUGUUAAUUGUGUGUUGACGUAUGUGACCCAUUAUGAUGUGUUGACUCUUGUUUACUGCUUGGAAGCAUCUAGGAACAACGACCAAGCUAACUGGGUACAUUUUGGCUUUGGUAUAUGGGAGCCGGACGAUCCGGAUCAAACCAACCAAGAAGAUUUGGAUUUCUUGGAACCAGAAGAGACAUACACCGAAGUUUGUGAAGAUGAUGAGGCAAGGGUUUUUCAUCAAAAAGGUAACCGUUAUUCCAAUACCUGUGUCAAGUUACGCCGUGUUGCAUAUUUUUGAAAAAAAAUAUCAAACAAUAAUAUGGACAAAUUAUUUUGUCGUGCAUAUGUUUUUCAAACAUUAAUACGGUCAAAUUAUUUGCUGAUAUAUGCACUUCAAAACGUUGAGGGAUCCUGAAAUGGUAAUCGUGGAAAAUGAUCCAUACGAUCGAGUAUACAAGGAUCUGCCUGCUCACCAUCUUGUGUUGAGGAAAGUGCCGAUACGCAAGUAUUGUGGUGCUAUAAGGUUUCUAGGUGAAGGACCCGGUUUUGUUGCAGGCAAAGAAAGGUUAAUAUAGUGAACACACCGAUUCUCGAUGAUCUGCGAAGUCUAUUUACAAGCCAGACGGAUAGGGAUGCAUUGUAUUUUAGAAAGAAUAUCCGGUACUUCAACUCACAUUUUUUCGCUAGCUUUGGAGCUAGCGUAGAUCAACGGGUCGCUACUGUUGCUGGUGACUAUUUGGUGCCGAUUCUUAUGUCGUGUUUAUGUACAUUGCUCUUUACUAUAAGGAUUCUUAAUUUGCAAAGGAACUCGGCUUACAGUAAAGGCAUUUGGGGACAAUGCAAUUGAUUGUGAAAUUGUAAAUGAACAUUCAUUUUUUGAUACAGUUGAAACCCCAAGAUCUGACAGCCGGUGAGAAGGCUCUUGUGGAUAGGGCACAAGCGUGUCAAUUUCAACCGGCAAAAUGAGGCAAGGGGGCUUAACGAGUCAGCAGCCUUGAGUAGGGCGUGCCCCUCCUGUUGGCAAUACCUUCAUCUGGCAACCAGUGAACGUGGGUGAUGCGGCUUUGAGACUUGGAGCUUUGACCGCGGUGACUUUUUAUUUAUUUGUGGGCCGGUGAUAUGAUUCUGUACCUGUUGAGACUAUAAAAGUUGUGAUUUGUAGUUUGUUUGGAUUUUGGAAGAGGUGUAUGGUUCAAGUACCUGCAAAUGUACUUUUAUGAGUUAGAACUAGAAUGUCAAGUCGUCUGAUGUGAGACCUUGGGUUGCAACUGGUGUCACCGCAUUCGUGCCAUGCUCAUUUUUUUCCAGUAUAAUUGUGUUGCGCAUCUUAGGACGCAUGUA